rnacentral:tRNA from 1 species
AAGAGAGGAGCAUGAGUGGUUGAUGCGGCUGGCUUGAAACCAGUCUAUGAGGGUUCGAUUCCUUCCUUUCUUG